AUUGAACGCUGGCGGCAUGCCUUACACAUGCAAGUCGAACGGUAACAGGUCUUCGGAUGCUGACGAGUGGCGAACGGGUGAGUAAUACAUCGGGACGUGCCUAGUAGUGGGGGAUAACUACUCGAAAGAGUGGCUAAUACCGCAUGAGACCUACGGAUGAAAGCAGGGGAUCGCAAGACCUUGUGCUACUAGAGCGGCCGAUGGCAGAUUAGGUAGUUGGUGGGAUAAAAGCUUACCAAGCCGACGAUCUGUAGCUGGUCUGAGAGGACGAUCAGCAACACUGGGACUGAGACACGGCCCAGACUCCUACGGGAGGCAGCAGUGGGGAAUUUUGGACAAUGGGCGAAAGCCUGAUCCAGCAAUGCCGCGUGCAGGAUGAAGGCCUUCGGGUUGUAAACUGCUUUUGUACGGAACGAAAAGCUCUGGGUUAAUACCCUGGGGUCAUGACGGUACCGUAAGAAUAAGCACCGGCUAACUACGUGCCAGCCGCCGCCGUAA
rnacentral:rRNA from 1 species